AUUGAACGCUGGCGGCAUGCCUUACACAUGCAAGUCGAACGGCAGCACGGGUGCUUGCACCUGGUGGCGAGUGGCGAACGGGUGAGUAAUACAUCGGAACAUGUCCUGUAGUGGGGGAUAGCCCGGCGAAAGCCGGAUUAAUACCGCAUACGAUCUACGGAUGAAAGCAGGGGACCUUCGGGCCUCGCGCUAUAGGGUUGGCCGAUGGCUGAUUAGCUAGUUGGUGGGGUAAAGGCCUACCAAGGCGACGAUCAGUAGCUGGUCUGAGAGGACGACCAGCCACACUGGGACUGAGACACGGCCCAGACUCCUACGGGAGGCAGCAGUGGGGAAUUUUGGACAAUGGGCGAAAGCCUGAUCCAGCAAUGCCGCGUGUGUGAAGAAGGCCUUCGGGUUGUAAAGCACUUUUGUCCGGAAAGAAAUCCUUGGCCCUAAUACGGUCGGGGGAUGACGGUACCGGAAGAAUAAGCACCGGCUAACUACGUG
rnacentral:rRNA from 1 species